AAUGAGAAUGGAAGGGCCAUGUCUUGGGGUUUCAUCAUCACGCCAGAAACUUUAAACCAGAUAAUCGUGUCUAAUGCAGUGCGAUGUGCCAAAGUUGUCUUGGUUGGUGAUGAUCCUGAGCUUCAUGGUUUCCGAGCCAAUCCCAACUGCAUGACACAAUAUGGGUACUUUUCCCUCCACCGAGCUGCUGAUAUGUUCUCUGUUGAUAUGAUUGAGUUGCUCUUGCGCCAUGGUGCGUCUGCCAAUCUACGCACAUCUGGUGAUCUAGUCCCUGCUGACCUACUCCCACUCCAUGUUGCGGUUGAGAACACUUCCAUGCAUAAGUACCUUGAGGACAGUCUAAAUCCUAGUCAACAGCGUGUGGACUGCAGCCAGGCAGACAUCAACUAUAUCCUCAAGCUCAUCCACAUCCUGUGC
rnacentral:rRNA from 1 species